CUAGGACUGCAGAUGGCUGUGCAGAUGGUUUAGCUAUGUUGGACUUCUUGCAAAGGAGAACGAAGUCUUUAUUCUGUUUGAGGAUUUCUGGGUCUAGAGGACCUAUUUCCAACCACUGAAAUGCUUCCUCCAGGAGAUAUGAAGAACCUCACUGAAACUUAGGGUAUGGCUGCUAUCCAGUGACUUCCUUAAGCCAAGGGGACAGCAGGUGAAGAAAGGAGGUGCCACACUGCCAGUGGUGCCUCAUGUGAUCAUCAGAACUUUAGCCAGAGGAUGCACGUGGGCAGAGCCUAGACUAAGGGCCAAAGACAACAAGCCCCAGCCAAGAACAGAGACAUGAAGGCAUCAACAGUCACUGCUGCUCCAAACACAGCCAUGGUAGUGCCUAAGGAGUCCCUGGAGUGACCGAGAGUUCCCGUUCCCUUGAGUCAAGAGUCCUAAGCCUUGGAGAGGUCAGUAGGCUUAAAUGGACACAGCUGAUGUUGUGUCUCUAUUGUUGCAUCUUGACACUUGAUGUUGUACAAGUAGUUAAGCAUGAGAAGUCUCACACUCAGAUCUCUUACAUUCUCCACCAGAAGUUUUGAAGCCUGGUAGGACACGGACAUCCCUCUCACCACUGUUUUAUCCCUAAUGUCUAGAUCAUGCCUGGCACCACUAAGUGCUAAACAAAUAUUGACAAAACGAA